UUCGUGAUGUGGUCGUGGCAGUCGUUAUUGUAUUGAUUGCAAGGGGCAAUAUUUUAUUGCCCUUAAAUUUU
rnacentral:sRNA from 1 species